rnacentral:rRNA from 1 species
GGCUUAGAGUUUGAUCAUGGCUCAGGAUGAACGCUAGCUACAGGCUUAACACAUGCAAGUCGAGGGGCAGCAUGAACUUAGCUUGCUAAGUUUGAUGGCGACCGGCGCACGGGUGAGUAACACGUAUCCAACCUGCCGAUGACUCGGGGAUAGCCUUUCGAAAGAAAGAUUAAUACCCGAUGGCAUAGUUCUUCCGCAUGGUGGAACUAUUAAAGAAUUUCGGUCAUCGAUGGGGAUGCGUUCCAUUAGGUUGUUGGCGGGGUAACGGCCCACCAAGCCUUCGAUGGAUAGGGGUUCUGAGAGGAAGGUCCCCCACAUUGGAACUGAGACACGGUCCAAACUCCUACGGGAGGCAGCAGUGAGGAAUAUUGGUCAAUGGACGAGAGUCUGAACCAGCCAAGUAGCGUGAAGGAUGACUGCCCUAUGGGUUGUAAACUUCUUUUAUACGGGAAUAAAGUGAGGCACGUGUGCCUUUUUGUAUGUACCGUAUGAAUAAGGAUCGGCUAACUCCGUGCCAGCAGCCGCGGUAAUACGGAGGAUCCGAGCGUUAUCCGGAUUUAUUGGGUUUAAAGGGAGCGUAGGCGGACGCUUAAGUCAGUUGUGAAAGUUUGCGGCUCAACCGUAAAAUUGCAGUUGAUACUGGGUGUCUUGAGUACAGUAGAGGCAGGCGGAAUUCGUGGUGUAGCGGUGAAAUGCUUAGAUAUCACGAAGAACUCCGAUUGCGAAGGCAGCUUGCUGGACUGUAACUGACGCUGAUGCUCGAAAGUGUGGGUAUCAAACAGGAUUAGAUACCCUGGUAGUCCACACAGUAAACGAUGAAUACUCGCUGUUUGCGAUAUACAGUAAGCGGCCAAGCGAAAGCGUUAAGUAUU